AUGGCCCAAUAUGUUUAUACAGCGAGAUGCACUUCCGCUGCACACAUCCAAUUAGAAGUUCUUUGCCCAACUCUCCCAUGGACUGAGAAAGAGACAGAAGCAAAUGACUACAUGAAACAUUACUUAUUCAAGACAUGCACACUCCUCCCUCCCUGCAGGAGCCUUUGGAGUGCAUGGACUGGAGACGAUCAGAGUAAAGUGUCAGGACUUUGGGAGUCAGGUGGUAAAAGGCUGCUUUGAAAUGAAAUUUGAGUGAAUAUGAGCUACUUGGGCCAAUUCAGAAACAACAAAGCCAAGUUUGCUACCCAGGCACCGCUGAAAACUCUGCAGGUCUCAAGAAUUCUCCAAAUUGCUAAUAACACGAAACAAGGCUGUAACCAGAAAUCAAAACAUAACGUCUCUCAAUAUCUCUCGCUUUCUCUCCCUCUCUCUUGCUUUCUCCCCACCCCCUCUCAUUUGAAGAGGAGCAAUAACUAAUUCACAGGCUACACGAAGGAAUCAGCAGCAAUGGAAACACCUGCCUGGAUGUCCAAAGGCCAUAGGUGAGCCCCGUCCUGCCUCUGCCGUGGUCUCAGGCCAAUCUCCACCACCCCAGCCUAAUCUACACACUAAAAAGGUGCAUCAGUCACGCAGCUGCUUCCCAAGAGCCAAUGCAGCCUCAACAGUCCUAUUUCAGCAAGGAUUUGUAGGCAGCUCCUUCCUAAUACCCAGACUACUCAUCCUUCACUGUAAAUUAAAAUAACCCUGUAAAAACCACAGAACUCGCAGAGAGCAACUGUGUUUCAUUAACUUAUAACUUCAGAUGUGAU
rnacentral:lncRNA from 1 species